UACUGCACUGAUAAGAAGCUUUUUUUUUAUUGAAAUUCCCACAGGUGCCUAAAACAUUUGCACAAUACUGUAUAUAUCUAUUCACACUGGGAGAAGGUACCUGCCCAGCCCUUCCACCUCCAGUUCCCCACUGCGCUUAUCCAGUUGCCCCCUGCAGCCCUGCUGGAGGGACUCUGCCCCGUCCUUAUCAGGAGAGGAAGCACGACAGGAUGACCGAUACACACAGCCGGCCAAUCAAAACUACUCUUAUUUCAGCAGCCCCUCCCCUUCUGUCUUUUGUCGCCAUAGCGACCACCUCAAAGCACAAAGUUCUGUGCAGCUGACAAAUCGCCAGUGACUCUCCUUUUGGUGCCAUGGCAAAAGCAGCACAGACAAGGCAGGAUUUAUGGCCGCUGUAGAGAGAAGUUAUUGAGAGGGUAGUGCUACGGUCUGAAACUGGAAAGUCUCUGAUAGGGCAAUAAAUACUGACCAGAUUAAA